rnacentral:rRNA from 1 species
UACGUAGGGUCCGAGCGUUGUCCGGAAUUAUUGGGCGUAAAGAGCUCGUAGGCGGUUUGUCGCGUCUGCUGUGAAAUCCCGAGGCUCAACCUCGGGCCUGCAGUGGGUACGGGCAGACUUGAGUGGUGUAGGGGAGACUGGAAUUCCUGGUGUAGCGGUGGAAUGCGCAGAUAUCAGGAGGAACAUCAGUUGCGAAGGCGGCUCUCUGGACCAGCACUGACACUGAGGCACGAAAGCGUGGGGAGCGAACAGG